rnacentral:rRNA from 1 species
GUGCCAGCCGCCGCGGUAAGACAGAGGGUGCGAACGUUGCUCGGAAUUACUGGGCGUAAAGCGCGUGUAGGCGGGUAAUCAAGUCAGGUGUGAAAUCCCUGGGCUCAACCCAGGAACUGCACUUGAAACUGGUUGCCUUGAGUGUUGGAGAGGGAAGCGGAAUUCCUGGUGUAGAGGUGAAAUUCGUAGAUAUCAGGAGGAACACCGGUGGCGAAGGCGGCUUCCUGGACAAUUACUGACGCUGAGACGCGAAAGCGUGGGGAGCAAACAGGAUUAGAUACCCCGGUAGUCC